rnacentral:rRNA from 1 species
CCUACGGGAGGCAGCAGUGGGGAAUAUUGGACAAUGGGGGCAACCCUGAUCCAGCCAUGCCGCGUGUGUGAAGAAGGCCCUCGGGUUGUAAAGCACUUUCAGUGAGGAAGAACGCCUGGUGGUUAAUACCCAUCAGGAAAGACAUCACUCACAGAAGAAGCACCGGCUAACUCCGUGCCAGCAGCCGCGGUAAUACGGAGGGUGCGAGCGUUAAUCGGAAUUACUGGGCGUAAAGCGCGCGUAGGUGGCUUGAUAAGCCGGUUGUGAAAGCCCCGGGCUCAACCUGGGAACGGCAUCCGGAACUGUCAAGCUAGAGUGCAGGAGAGGAAGGUAGAAUUCCCGGUGUAGCGGUGAAAUGCGUAGAGAUCGGGAGGAAUACCAGUGGCGAAGGCGGCCUUCUGGACUGACACUGACACUGAGGUGCUAAAGCGUGGGUAGCAAACAGGAUUAGAUACCCCUGUAGUC